GGGCUGCUAGACAGCCGGAGGCUGACUUUAUCAAAGGAGAGGGUGAGAAUCAGUGUUGUCAGAUGUCUGUUACAUCUCACUUUGACAUCUGACGUUCUUUUAGUGUUUGGCUUUUUUGCUUGGGCAAAUCCCGUACCGAGCGUUUGGAAUUUCGACACGCUAUUUAUUUAUUGAAAUUUUGGCCUUUUUCGUUCACAUAAAUCUGUCAAUUCUGGUCAUCGGUGGUCGUCGAUGCCACCUUCAGCUGUCAUACCCAACAACCCAAACAAAAACACUCCAUGGACAUGGACCACAACUUUAGCCAAGAUUUGAGCAAGUCGUCCAAACAGAAAAAUGGCUUGCUUUCCAAAGGCAUGGCAACGGCUUCGUCAAUGGUAUUGGGAUCUGUGUGGGCUUCCUGAUGUAAAGGCCACAGGGCAACCAGGACUAUCCCAGGGUCAUCCCCAACAAAGUGGACUUGAAGGAGUGGAACGGCCGUUUGUCUCUCCUCCCCCCACGUACAGCGCAAGCCAAGGUGAUGUCCUUGUCAAGUCCAUCGUGGACUCCUGCCUGGAAGCAAAGCGAACGAUGAGAGCAACAGACUGGAAUCGAACAAUGGCCACCAUUCCUGCAGCACUGGCUGCCAUUCGUCCAGCGUCUAGCUCUCAUGCUUCAGAAACACCAAGCUCUAGUCCCCUUUGUAGUCAUGAAGGAGCAUGUCACGGUGUCAAUGACAGCCCCAAUCACUAGAUUUUGAUGAAUCCUCAUGUGCAACAGUAUAAGAAAACGAGCAUGCUUUCUCUGUUUUAAUUCAUCAUUCUCGACCCCACCCAAUGACUGUCUAAUCACGACUGAUCACCGCUACAAGGGGGGGUGCUAAUUACUGAUCUAUUUAUAUAUUAUAUUAUUAUAUUUUCUAUACUAUUGAUCUACUGUAGUGUAGUAAUACUGUACACGCAUGUAUUUUUACCCCGUCUAACAGGUCAGAAUCUCUCUCUUCAAGCACAUGAAAGUCUUCAACCCGAAUUUGUAGUAGAAUAAUAGAAAAUCAAACCGUAAGACAAAAUACAAAUAUUAAAGUUUGUAAAGCUCAAAAGUGUAUGAAAACUGAACUCUAUUUCGAAGCCUGGUUGAGUCAGCAGCCUUGUUUCACUGUUGUAAACCUCAUUCACACAAAAUAUACCCUGUAUAUUUUACAUACUAAAUUUACUUUUCAUACGAGGAAAAAUCUCAGAUAUUUUUCACCAUCAAAAUCAAGGUGAUGGGACAAAAUGUAACAAAAUGUGAGAGAUUUACUAUGUGUAAUAUGUGUUUUAAUUGGAAAUAAAUGGAUUUGAGGUGAUAUAAA